ACGCUGUUGUGUGGUCGCCUCGCAAAAAAUCAACUUGAUUGUUCCUCAGCCCCACCUCCGGCGCGGCGCGCGUCCUCAGGAUGCACUGAGGCGGAGGCAGGGGAGGCGGCGGCGGGUCGCGGUCCCUCUCCUCCGAGCGCCCCGCCGGAGGGGAGGGAGUCACGAUGUCUGGGAGCCGCCAGGCCGGGUCGGGCUCCGCCGGGACCAGCCCUGGCUCCUCGGCGGCCUCCUCGGUGACUUCCGCCUCCUCGUCCUUAUCCAAUUCCCCGUCGCCCCCUUCCGUGGCGGCUUCGGCGUCGUCGCUGGUGUCCGGCGGGGCAGCCCAGGCCGCGGGCUCCGGCGGCCUCGGGGGCCCGGUGCGGCCUGUGUUGGUGGCGGCCGCCGUGUCCGGCAGCGGCAGCGGGAGCGGCGGCGGGGUGGUGUCCGCGGGCCUGUCCCGGCUCAGCGCGCCCAGGCCCAGCGCCGGCGGUGGAGGGAGCAGCUCCAGCCUCGGCAGCGGCAGCAGGAAGCGACCUCUGCUCGCCCCUCUGUGCAACGGGCUCAUCAACUCCUAUGAGGACAAAAGCAACGACUUCGUCUGCCCUAUCUGCUUUGAUAUGAUUGAGGAAGCAUACAUGACGAAAUGUGGCCACAGCUUUUGCUACAAGUGUAUUCAUCAGAGUUUGGAGGACAAUAAUAGAUGUCCCAAGUGUAACUAUGUUGUGGAUAAUAUUGACCAUCUAUAUCCUAAUUUCUUGGUGAAUGAGCUCAUUCUCAAACAGAAGCAAAGGUUUGAGGAAAAGAGGUUCAAAUUGGACCACUCAGUGAGUAGCACCAAUGGCCACAGGUGGCAAAUAUUUCAGGAUUUAUUGGGAACUGACCAAGAUAACCUUGAUUUGGCCAAUGUCAACCUCAUGUUGGAAUUACUAGUACAGAAGAAGAAACAACUGGAAGCAGAAUCACAUGCAGCCCAACUACAGAUCCUUAUGGAAUUCCUCAAGGUUGCAAGAAGAAAUAAGAGAGAGCAACUGGAACAGAUCCAGAAGGAACUCAGCGUUUUGGAAGAAGAUAUUAAAAGAGUGGAAGAAAUGAGUGGCUUAUACUCUCCUGUCAGUGAAGAUAGCACAGUGCCUCAAUUUGAAGCUCCUUCUCCAUCACACAGUAGUAUUAUUGAUUCCACAGAAUACAGCCAACCUCCAGGUUUCAGUGGCAGCUCUCAGACAAAGAAACAACCUUGGUAUAACAGCACAUUAGCAUCAAGACGGAAACGACUCACUGCUCAUUUUGAAGACUUAGAGCAAUGUUACUUUUCUACAAGGAUGUCUCGUAUCUCAGAUGACAGUCGAACAACAAGCCAGUUGGAUGAAUUUCAGGAAUGCUUGUCCAAGUUUACUCGAUAUAAUUCAGUACGACCUUUGGCUACACUGUCAUAUGCUAGUGAUCUCUAUAAUGGUUCCAGCAUAGUCUCUAGUAUUGAAUUUGACCGGGAUUGUGACUAUUUUGCAAUUGCUGGGGUUACAAAGAAGAUUAAAGUCUAUGAAUAUGGAACAGUCAUUCAGGAUGCGGUGGAUAUUCAUUACCCUGAAAAUGAAAUGACCUGCAAUUCCAAAAUCAGCUGUAUCAGUUGGAGUAGUUAUCAUAAGAACCUGUUAGCCAGCAGUGACUAUGAAGGCACUGUCAUCUUAUGGGAUGGGUUCACAGGACAGAGGUCAAAGGUCUAUCAGGAGCAUGAGAAGAGGUGUUGGAGCGUUGAUUUUAAUUUGAUGGAUCCUAAACUCUUGGCUUCGGGUUCUGAUGAUGCAAAAGUGAAGCUGUGGUCCACCAAUCUAGACAACUCAGUAGCAAGCAUUGAGGCGAAGGCUAAUGUGUGUUGUGUUAAAUUCAGCCCCUCUUCUAGAUACCAUUUGGCUUUCGGCUGUGCAGAUCACUGUGUCCACUACUAUGAUCUUCGUAACACUAAACAGCCAAUCAUGGUGUUCAAAGGACACCGAAAAGCAGUUUCUUAUGCAAAGUUUGUGAGUGGUGAGGAAAUUGUCUCUGCCUCAACGGACAGCCAGCUAAAGCUGUGGAAUGUAGGGAAACCAUACUGUCUGCGUUCCUUCAAGGGUCACAUCAAUGAAAAAAACUUCGUAGGUCUCGCUUCCAAUGGAGAUUACAUAGCUUGUGGAAGCGAGAACAACUCUCUUUACCUGUACUAUAAAGGACUUUCUAAGACUUUGCUAACUUUUAAGUUUGAUACGGUCAAAAGUGUUCUGGACAAAGACCGAAAAGAAGAUGAUACAAAUGAAUUUGUUAGUGCUGUGUGCUGGAGGGCACUGCCAGAUGGGGACACCUGCACUAAAGAAAACCAUAAAGGAUAUUCUUAAGGCUGAAGGAAAAGAUCAGAAGAUGAAGAUGAAGAUGAAGAUCAGAGAUACAGAAAGGAAUGGGAAGCAAUAAAAAUGUUUUCAGUGAUUGAGUCAACAAGGAGGAAUCAACAAAAAUACUGAGGAGUGGUUAUCAAUAGUAGGAAAACUGGUGCCUGGGAAACCAAGUGAACGAUUUUCAAGAAGGAGGGAUUGAUCAGCUUUGUGCUGAAGACAAGCAAGAGGAGCAAAACAAUGAGAGGAGUGGAGUCCAAUGUGCUGAUUGCUGCCAACAGUCAGGGUACAAUUAAGGUGCUGGAGUUGGUAUGAAGGGUUGACGCAGUUAAAUUGUACUUGAUCCUGCUGACAUACAUCUGCAGCUGACAAUGAGAGAAGACAGAAACUGUCGUGUCAUGUCUCUCCCCAAAGUCAUCAUGGGUUUUGGAUUUGUUUUGAGUAUUUUUCCUUCUUCUUUUUUCUUCCUUUAUGACCUUUGGGACAUUGGGAAUACCUACCCAGUGGACUCUCCACCAUCAAUGUAACCCUAUGGACUCUGCUGCUGUUGGUGGUGUGGUUAUCUAAUUUUUGUGAUAGGGAAACAAAUUCUUUUGAAUAAAAAUAAAUAACAAAAAAUAAUAAAAGUUUAUUGAGCCACAGUUGAGCUGGGAAAGUUUUUGUGAAAUGUGGCAAGAGAUGAUAAUCUUCAAGAAGUAACACACAUGAACUAUUGAAUAAUGUACCAGUGAAUAAUUUUUAAGGUUCAUAUUUCCUGACCUCUUUGGAAUUAUGCAUGUCAAUGUAAAUAUAAAAGUAUCCAGA